AGAGUUUGAUCCUGGCUCAGGAUGAACGCUAGCGGCAGGCCUAACACAUGCAAGUCGAGCGGUAACAGGCAUUUUGAUUCAGCUUGCUGAAUCUCGCGCUGACGAGCGGCGGACGGGUGAGUAACGCGUAGGAAUCUACCUAGUAGAAGGGGAUAGCCCGGGGAAACUCGGAUUAAUACCGUAUACGUCCUUAGGGAGAAAGAGGGCUUAGCUUUGAUGCUCUCGCUAUUAGAUGAGCCUGCGUAAGAUUAGCUUGUUGGUGAGGUAAAGGCUCACCAAGGCUACGAUCUUUAGCUGGUCUGAGAGGACGAUCAGCCACAUUGGGACUGAGACACGGCCCAGACUCCUACGGGAGGCAGCAGUGGGGAAUAUUGGACAAUGGGCGCAAGCCUGAUCCAGCCAUACCGCGUGUGUGAAGAAGGCCUUCGGGUUGUAAAGCACUUUAAGUAAGGAAGAAAAGUAUAUUGUUAAUACCAAUGUACCGUGACAUUACUUACAGAAUAAGGACCGGCUAAUUCCGUGCCAGCAGCCGCGGUAAUACGGAAGGUCCAAGCGUUAAUCGGAAUUACUGGGCGUAAAGCGCGCGUAGGUGGUUUAUUAAGUUGGGUGUGAAAGCCCCGGGCUCAACCUGGGAACUGCAUCCAAAACUGAUUCACUAGAGUACGAAAGAGGGAGGUAGAAUUCACAGUGUAGCGGUGGAAUGCGUAGAUAUUGUGAAGAAUACCAAUGGCGAAGGCAGCCUCCUGGUUCUGUACUGACACUGAGGUGCGAAAGCGUGGGUAGCGAACAGGAUUAGAUACCCUGGUAGUCCACGCCGUAAACGAUGACAACCAGCUGUUGGGAAGCAAUGCUUUUCAGUGGCGCAGCUAACGUCUUAAGUUGUCCGCCUGGGGAGUACGGCCGCAAGGUUAAAACUCAAAGGAAUUGACGG
rnacentral:rRNA from 1 species